CCAUUCAGGAGGUGGUUGCGGAUCACCCCCAGGCUGGUCUGAUGAUCUGUGUCUCUUGACUGGAAUCUUUAGUUCAUUCAUAUUUAAUGUCUGACCUUUAGGCAGAUAAGGGAACUUUGGAGAACAACUGCAUCUGGUGGAUUGGAAGACACGGAGGAUUGAGAGACAGGAGGGGUAGGGAAGGCCAAAGAGAUACUAAGAUUUCUUCAGUUCAAAGCACCAUAUUUUGGGAUAUCCAUUUCUGAGCCCCAACAACAGAUGUGCCCAUACAUGUAAACAUUCAAAAAAAGCUAUGUAUAAAUGGGAGUAUAUACCUUCAUAACAAAGGCUAUGGAUAUUUUUGGAUCACUUUCAAUAGACUUUACAAUCCAUCAAUAAAAUUAAUACAUUGCCACUGA
rnacentral:lncRNA from 10 species